GGUCGGCUGGUGUAAAUGGUUAUCACGUCAGUCUAACAGUUAACGGUUGUGGCUGUGCACUGAAGGUACUCGGAUCGAUCCCGGGGCCGAUCA
rnacentral:tRNA from 1 species